rnacentral:rRNA from 1 species
UACGUAGGGCGCAAGCGUUAUCCGGAAUUAUUGGGCGUAAAGAGCUCGUAGGCGGUUUGUCGCGUCUGCCGUGAAAGUCCGGGGCUCAACCCCGGAUCUGCGGUGGGUACGGGCAGACUAGAGUGAUGUAGGGGAGACUGGAAUUCCUGGUGUAGCGGUGAAAUGCGCAGAUAUCAGGAGGAACACCGGUGGCGAAGGCGGGUCUCUGGGCCGUAACUGACGCCGAGGAGCGAAAGCGUGGGGAGCGAACAGG